AGCGAACGCUGGCGGCAGGCCUAACACAUGCAAGUCGAACGAACUCUUCGGAGUUAGUGGCGGACGGGUGAGUAACACGUGGGAACGUGCCUUUAGGUUCGGAAUAACUCAGGGAAACUUGUGCUAAUACCGAAUGUGCCCUUCGGGGGAAAGAUUUAUCGCCUUUAGAGCGGCCCGCGUCUGAUUAGCUAGUUGGUGAGGUAAAGGCUCACCAAGGCGACGAUCAGUAGCUGAUCUGAGAGGAUGAUCAGCCACAUUGGGACUGAGACACGGCCCAAACUCCUACGGGAGGCAGCAGUGGGGAAUCUUGCGCAAUGGGCGAAAGCCUGACGCAGCCAUGCCGCGUGAAUGAUGAAGGUCUUAGGAUUGUAAAAUUCUUUCACCGGGGACGAUAAUGACGGUACCCGGAGAAGAAGCCCCGGCUAACUUCGUG
rnacentral:rRNA from 1 species